rnacentral:rRNA from 1 species
GCAAGUCGAACGGUAACAGAACUAGCUUGCUAGUUGCUGACGAGUGGCGGACGGGUGAGUAAUACUUAGGGAUCUGCCUCUGUGUGGGGGAUAACUAUUGGAAACGAUAGCUAAUACCGCAUAACGUCUACGGACCAAAGAGGGCUUUCGGGCUCUCGCGCAGAGAGGAACCUAAGCGAGAUUAGCUUGUUGGUGAGGUAAAGGCUCACCAAGGCCACGAUCAGUAGCUGGUUUGAGAGAACGAUC